rnacentral:rRNA from 1 species
CCUACGGGAGGCAGCAGUGGGGAAUAUUGCUCAAUGGGCGAAAGCCUGACGCAGCGACGCCGCGUGAGGGAUGAAGGUCUUCGGAUCGUAAACCUCUGUCAGCAGGGAAGAACGGUCACUGUGCUAAUCAGCAGUGAAUUGACGUUACCUUCAAAGGAAGCACCGGCUAACUCCGUACCAGCAGCCGCGGUAAGACGGAGGGUGCGAGCGUUAAUCGGAUUUACUGGGCGUAAGGCGCUCGUAGGCGGUAGGUCAAGUCAAGGGUGAAAUCCCCGCGCUAAACGUGGGAAGUGCCUUUGAAACUGGCAAACUGGAGUGUGUGAGAGGAGAGUGGAAUUCCAGGUGUAGGAGUGAAAUCCGUAGAUAUCUGGAGGAACAUCAGUGGCGAAGGCGACUAUCUGGCACAUAACUGACGCUGAGGAGCGAAAGCGUGGGUAGCAAACAGGAUUAGAUACCCUAGUAGUC